rnacentral:rRNA from 1 species
AGGCGGUCGACUUAUCGCGUUAGCUUCGCCACUAAGAUCUCAAGGAUCCCAACGGCUAGUCGACAUCGUUUACGGCGUGGACUACCAGGGUAUCUAAUCCUGUUUGCUCCCCACGCUUUCGCACCUCAGUGUCAGUAUCAGUCCAGGUGGUCGCCUUCGCCACUGGUGUUCCUUCCUAUAUCUACGCAUUUCACCGCUACACAGGAAAUUCCACCACCCUCUACCGUACUCUAGCUCAGUAGUUUUGGAUGCAGUUCCCAGGUUGAGCCCGGGGCUUUCACAUCCAACUUGCUGAACCACCUACGCGCGCUUUACGCCCAGUAAUUCCGAUUAACGCUUGCACCCUUCGUAUUACCGCGGCUGCUGGCACGAAGUUAGCCGGUGCUUAUUCUGUUGGUAACGUCAAAACAGCAAGGUAUUAGCUGACUGCCCUUCCUCCCAACUUAAAGUGCUUUACAAUCCGAAGACCUUCUUCACACACGCGGCAUGGCUGGAUCAGGCUUUCGCCCAUUGUCCAAUAUUCCCCACUGCUGCCUCCCGUAGGAGUCUGGACCGUGUCUCAGUUCCAGUGUGACUGAUCAUCCUCUCAGACCAGUUACGGAUCGUCGCCUUGGUGAGCCAUUACCCCACCAACUAGCUAAUCCGACCUAGGCUCAUCUGAUAGCGCAAGGCCCGAAGGUCCCCUGCUUUCUCCCGUAGGACGUAUGCGGUAUUAGCAUCCGUUUCCGAACGUUAUCCCCCACUACCAGGCAGAUUCCUAGGCAUUACUCACCCGUCCGCCGCUCGCCGGCAUCCCGAAGGACCCGCUGCCGCUC